GGUUAGUAACGCGUGGGAACAUACCCUUCUCUACGGAAUAGCCUCGGGAAACUGAGAGUAAUACCGUAUAAGCCCUUCGGGGGAAAGAUUUAUCGGUGAAGGAUUGGCCCGCGUAAGAUUAGAUAGUUGGUGGGGUAAUGGCCUACCAAGUCUACGAUCUUUAGCUGGUUUGAGAGGAUGAUCAGCAACACUGGGACUGAGACACGGCCCAGACUCCUACGGGAGGCAGCAGUGGGGAAUCUUAGACAAUGGGCGAAAGCCUGAUCUAGCCAUGCCGCGUGAGUGAUGAAGGUCUUAGGAUCGUAAAGCUCUUUCGCUAGGGAUGAUAAUGACAGUACCUAGUAAAGAAGCCCCGGCUAACUCCGUGCCAGCAGCCGCGGUAAUACGGAGGGGGCUAGCGUUGUUCGGAAUUACUGGGCGUAAAGCGUACGUAGGCGGAUCAGAAAGUAUGGGGUGAAAUCCCAGGGCUUAACCCUGGAACUGCCUCAUAAACUCCUGGUCUUGAGUUCGAGAGAGGUGAGUGGAAUUCCAAGUGUAGAGGUGAAAUUCGUAGAUAUUUGGAGGAACACCAGUGGCGAAGGCGGCUCACUGGCUCGAUACUGACGCUGAGGUACGAAAGUGCGGGGAGCAAACAGGAUUAGAUACCCUGGUAGUCCACACCGUAAACGAUGAAUGCCAGUCGUCGGGCAGUAUACUGUUCU
rnacentral:rRNA from 1 species